GAUCUUGGUCAGGACGAACGCUGGCGGCGUGCCUAACACAUGCAAGUCGAGCGAGGAGAUUCCUCGGGAUGAUCCUAGCGGCGGACGGGUGAGUAACACGUGGGCAACCUGCCUCAUAGAGAGGAAUAGCCUUCCGAAAGGGAGAUUAAUACCUCAUAACAUUGCAGUUUCGCAUGGAACAGCAAUUAAAGGAGCAAUCCGCUAUGAGAUGGGCCCGCGGCGCAUUAGCUAGUUGGUGAGGUAACGGCUCACCAAGGCGACGAUGCGUAGCCGACCUGAGAGGGUGAUCGGCCACAUUGGGACUGAGACACGGCCCAGACUCCUACGGGAGGCAGCAGUGGGGAAUAUUGCACAAUGGGGGAAACCCUGAUGCAAGCAACGUCGCGUGAGUGAUGACGGCCUUCGGGUUGUAAAGCUCUGUCUUCAGGGACGAUAAUGACGGUACCUGAGGAGGAAGCCACGGCUAACUACGUGCCAGCCGCAGC
rnacentral:rRNA from 1 species